UUCCUAAUUUUCUCUUGUCUAAUAUUCUCCACUAUCCUAACCUAAAAUUGUCAUGAAAUUAGUCAUCCAAGAAGAAAACUGAAGUUUGUAAAGGUGAGGGUGCAGUGUAGCCUGGCGUCUCGUCAACUAAUGCAGUCAUCGUGGCCUGGGUCCCUCUACAUCCCUGUCUGCAUCGUCCACAAUGUCCCUUCCACAACAUGAAGACUUACCCUAAAUGCCACUCUCAGGAAGUUAUCUUUGAUCCCUGAUCCACAUGACGGCUUCUCCAUCCUCCAAAACCCAAAACUAAAGAAGUGUGAAAUGCAAGUUGGGAGAAUUGCUGAGAACAGCCCAACAGCCCUGCAAAUGUACCUCCUGGGGCCGGACUUCUGUUCAUUAGAGCAGGUUUGCUGUUGAGGAAGCUGGAUCAUCUUGCAGAGGUGUCUGGAAGGCAGAUGGUGGUACAGCUCAGAGAAGCAGACAGCAGUCAUCUUGGGGGCUGAAGCUUUAGCUAAAAGAAAAAUGGCUUCGAAGAGCAAUGAAACCCUUGACCUACUUUGCAGGUUUAUUUGUUUAUUCUUUGAUGUCCCAAAGACUAGCCUUUU
rnacentral:lncRNA from 1 species